GCGCCGGUGGUGUAAGGCGAACAUCGCUGCCCGGAAAGCAGAAGAUGUAGGUUCGAGUCCCGCCUGGCGCA
rnacentral:tRNA from 1 species